GACAGAGGGUGCAAACGUUGUUCGGAAUUACUGGGCGUAAAGCGCGUGUAGGCGGCCAUCUAAGUCGGGCGUGAAAUCCCACGGCUCAACCGUGGAAGUGCACUCGAAACUGGAUGGCUAGAGUCCUGGAGAGGAAGGUGGAAUGCUUGGUGUAGAGGUGAAAUUCGUAGAUAUCAAGCGGAACACCAGUGGCGAAGGCGGCUCACUGGUCCGGUACUGACGCUGAGGUGCGAAAGCGUGGGGAGCAAACAGG
rnacentral:rRNA from 1 species